rnacentral:lncRNA from 1 species
AUGUUUCUCAGUGGUUCCAUGCUGUGGCUGCUGGCCUAUGUAUCCGGUGCCAGCAUUUCCCAGGAAGCCGUGCCAAGCCAAGAUGAAGGUUGGCGGCCGAUCAGCAGGUUUAUUACCCUCAACGGGGCAGAUCAAACAGCUUGGAAACCACCAUUUCCCAGAGGAGAGUGGGUUUUUGGUAAAAGCAAUCACGGUCACACCCUUCUACCUGCCCUGGUGAAUUAUUUUCCAGUUUGUUCCAGCCCUGUCAAUUGAUGGGGUCUCUGGGUUACUUACUGCAGUUGUUCUGAAUCAGCACCAGGUAAAGGCACCAUUUCUCCAUUACCAAUUCUCAUUCACCAAUGCCCUUCCACCUCCAUUACUUCCCUCACCUCUCAACCACCACAACUACUCAGUCACAGCCACUUUCCUGCCCCCGCUCUUUUUGGCAGCUGGUGAGAUAUAGGUUGAUGCGGAAACUUUCCCUUCUCACAAACACACGUCUUCUGCAUCCUUGCGAUGGCAGGGAUGAUGGGUAGCAAAAUGGCAUCACACCGGCUGGAUGAGUGUUCACGUGUCCACAUUCAGUGUCCAGUUCCUCUUUUGCCACCCAGUUAAAUCUCUCCAACUGCCUUUUGAUGUUUGUAUCUGAGUUCCUCCUCUUUCCCACAGUCUGUAUCAUAGCUCCUCAUCAGCGUCUCCAGAUGCUUCCCUUCUCCUCCGUCUCUCCAUAAUCUUGGGCCUUUUUUCCCCUAUAAACUGUAAACUCCUUGUGUGCAAAGAUUGUGUCUACAGACUCUAUUGUAUUGUACUUUCCCAAGCAUUUAGUACAGUGUAAACUCACUGUGGGCAGGGAACGGGUCUACCAACUCUGUUAUACUGUGCUCUCCCAAGCGCUUAAUACAGUGCUCUGCACACAGAAAGUGCUCAGUAAAUAUGAUUGACCGAUUGUUACUGCACAUGGUAAUUGCUCAAUAAAUGCCAUUGAUUGAUUAGAAUAUUUCUCCAAGGCCUGACUUUUUAAAUCCUUUUAUACCAGCAGCAGAAUUUUUGACUUGCAGUAUCCUCUUAGAAAUCCCAAAAGAUUAAAAUCCUGGUCCUGCUAUGGAUACGGGGAGGCAGAGUGAUCUAGUGGGAAGUGCAUAGGACUGGGGGUCAAGAGACCCGGGUUCUAGACUCACUUAACCUCUCUAAGCCUCACUUUCCUAUCUGUAAAGCAGGAAUCAGAUCAUGAGCCCCAUGUAGGACAGGGACUGAAUAUGGUCAGAUAAUCUUGUAUCUAGUCUAGUGUUUAGCAGGCAGCAUGAAAAUCAUAAUAAUUAUUUAUAAAUUUUUCUCUCCCCUCUAAUCUCUUUUGUGACUCAUUAUUCUAAGAAGAAAUGGAAUAAACUUCCCAUAUAUUGAUUUCACAAGCUUGAGGGAAGACAUUUGCUAUUUAUUUACUUACUGGAAGGAUUUAUGAAUCACUUUUCUGCUGAAGACGUCUUAAGGAGACUCUGGGAUGAGAGGCAAGUUUAAGUGCUUUGUACAUUGGAAGCUACUUGGGAAAAUUCAGUACUGGUGAAUUAUUUGCCCAAACAUGGAAGAGUGUGCUACUGCUUUGCAAGCAAAAGCAUAAGUGGAAUUUUUGCAACAAUCAGGAUUUACAUCGCCAACAUUGAAACAGUAGGGUAUAAUAUAUGUACUUAUCUUUCCUUCUUUUGAAAUUCCUUUUCCUCGGGAAGCGCUCUCCCAUCAAGAAAAGUUCUGGCAAGAAUUCUCAGCUAGUCCAAGCGCCAGCCUUGGAAAUAAUCUCACACCUACUUUCCCAGAGGGAAUAAUAAUAGUACAAUAGUAGAAAGUAAUGUGGAUUCUAAUAAUUUCCUUGCCAGUCUUACCUCCUUUGUGGGUAGUGGGCUGGUAAAACUUGUGUGGAUUGGUAAAGUCUUGCAUUUAUUUUCAUAGCUGAAAAAAAUCAAAGGACUGAAUGUCUUUCCUCAAACCAAUUUAGGAUGCUUAUUCAAACUCCUUUCCCCCAUGCUCACCUUCCCUUCUCCUCUCUCCAAAAUUUCUGACCUCUUCAGAGUUCCCUCCCAGUUUAAAUCCCAUCAAACCCUCUGUCAUCCUAGGCAAGGCCUCAUCAUACUGAGCACAGCAGACACUCAAGAAAUGCAGUCGAUUAAUUUAUCAUUAUCAAAUAUUAAGUGAGCUCCAGCAAGGGGCAUUAUAUUAGAUGCAAUGCCGGGAAACUUGGUUUGCCCUUUGCAUUUCCUUUAGGACUCCAGCUCCAGAAGUCAGGAAUGGGAUGUCUCCUAAGUAGCAGAUGAAAUGGUUUGCCCCAUGGACAAGUGAAUGAGGUUUGCAUCCUCUGGACUGGGUUAAAUAAAUCCAUCUGAAGAGAAGGCGGGGGUGGGGAGUCUGCAUCUUAAUUCUUCUCAUGGUCCAUCUGCUCAGCCCAGUCUUGUCAGGCUCUGGCCCUGCAGCCAGCCUUUCCAUCCCACUUUCACACUUUUUUCCAAAUCUCAGAGUUUUGACAGAACGAACGGACCUGUGGAAAAUGAAGGUCAUGGCUUAGUGAUCUAGAGUGCUAGUAUGCUGGAAAGAAAGCUGGUGGAAAACCCCCUGGAGGUGCCUUUCAAAGUUAAAUUUAAUAGAUCAAUAUAAGCAGAGGAAAAAAUACCAGCCACCAUCUCAAGUAUAGGCAAGUGUAGGACAGGGUAAGAGCUUUAGGGCAGGAAGUACCUAACUUUUUCUGACCUGUUUCAUUUCUAUUCGCCCCAUUCAACACAGUUCUCAUCAGAUAACCCUUAAAGAUGCCAUAAUGAAUCAAUCAGCCAGAGAGGUUCCUUUGUUCCAAAUAACUUAAUUGAUACCCAAAAGUUCCUUAAUAGUAAUGGUAUUUUUUAAGAGCUCACUGAAUGCAGAACACCGUAAGUCCUGGGAGAGAAUACAGAGGGGAGAAUUAAAAAUGGUUUCUGGCCCUCAAGAAGCUCAAAAUCUAAAUGAAUCCGUCAUCCUUACUGUCUUACCAUCACCUCUUAGUGAUCGAUAGAAACAGUUGAUUGACAUGUCUCCAAAGAAGAAAUCAUGAACAGUUUGGCAGCUCUCCUACUUGUUUCUAGCAAUGUUGGAGUCAGAGGGGUCUAAUGGAGAGAGGGCUGGGCUGAUGAUGAUGGAAUCUGGGUCACUGAUUUGCAGGUGUAAUGGCCAAGGCACCUUCUGGAUCUCGAUUUCUCCAUCUCUUAAGUGGGAACCAUUAUACCGGCCCAUCCCUCCGUCUGGCCGAAAUCCAAGGAAUUAUCCCAUCCUUAUUUCCAAACAAAGACUUCACUGAGCACCUACUGUAAUCCUAGAUGCUGAGGCAAAUUGCAAGACAUGAAUAAGAUAGAUACUAGAACUGAGCUCAGAAGACUGUAGUGAAUGGCACGAUCAGAGAAGGA